GUAAGAACCAACGUGUUAAGCAUAUUGCUUAGUGGUUCAUAAAUUGAAAUAAAAAUAACUAAAUAAUUGAAAUAAUUAUUCCACAUAUAACCUUAUAAGGAAAUAUAGAAUGUCAUGAAUUUAAAAUCUUUAACAUGUUUAUAGAACUUUGGAAGCAAUUAUGUUAAUCAGGAUCUUUUCUGUUCAUUUAUUCCAUAUUCAGUCUUAUUACUCAUAUUUAUGAUCUCU
rnacentral:misc_RNA from 1 species